rnacentral:tRNA from 1 species
GGGGGUGGAUGGGGCCUGGUGGCUUCCCCAGUCUUCAAAACUGGUGUGACCCGACUUCGUCGGGCCGGGUGGGUUCGAUUCCCACACUCUCCCGCCA